rnacentral:rRNA from 1 species
GAUGAACGCUAGCGACAGGCCUAACACAUGCAAGUCGAGGGGCAGCAUGAAAUUAGCUUGCUAAUUUUGAUGGCGACCGGCGCACGGGUGAGUAACACGUAUGCAACCUGCCUGUAAGCGGGGGAUAACCCGGAGAAAUCCGGACUAAUACCGCAUAAUAUCAUCGAAUCGCAUGUUUUGAUGAUUAAAAAUUUAUUGCUUACAGAUGGGCAUGCGUAUGAUUAGCUAGUUGGCGGGGUAACGGCCCACCAAGGCGACGAUCAUUAGGGGUUCUGAGAGGAAGGUCCCCCACAUUGGAACUGAGACACGCUCCAAACUCCUACGGGAAGCAGCAGUGAGGAAUAUUGGUCAAUGGACGCAAGUCUGAACCAGCCAUGUCGCGUGAAGGAUGACUGUCCUAUGGAUUGUAAACUUCUUUUAUAUGGGGAUAAAGUGUGAGACUUGUCUCAUUUUGCAUGUACCAUAUGAAUAAGCAUCGGCUAACUCCGUGCCAGCCGCCGCCGUAAUAC